rnacentral:rRNA from 1 species
GAUGAACGCUGGCGGCGUGCUUAACACAUGCAAGUCGAACGAUGAAGCCCAGCUUGCUGGGUGGAUUAGUGGCGAACGGGUGAGUAACACGUGAGUAACCUGCCCUUAACUCUGGGAUAAGCCUGGGAAACUGGGUCUAAUACCGGAUAGGAGCGUCCACCGCAUGGUGGGUGUUGGAAAGAUUUAUCGGUUUUGGAUGGACUCGCGGCCUAUCAGCUUGUUGGUGAGGUAAUGGCUCACCAAGGCGACGACGGGUAGCCGGCCUGAGAGGGUGACCGGCCACACUGGGACUGAGACACGGCCCAGACUCCUACGGGAGGCAGCAGUGGGGAAUAUUGCACAAUGGGCGCAAGCCUGAUGCAGCGACACCGCGUGAGGGAUGACGGCCUUCGGGUUGUAAACCUCUUUCAGUAGGGAAGAAGCGAAAGUGACGGUACCUGCAGAAGAAGCACCGGCUAACUACGUG